CAAGCAAGCAAGCAAGCAAGCAAGCAAGCAGACAAGCAAGCGAGCAAGCAAGCAAGCAAACAAACAAACAAACAAAAAAACAAACAAACAAACAAACAAACAAACAAACAAACAAACAAACAAACAACGCAGCGGAACAAUCAUGACAUACAGCAAAGGUAGAUCAUCCUUGGUAUAAGUGCUGCAAAAUAAUCAUGGGCGUACGGGAAGGAAAAAUUAGGGGGGGGAGCGGAAAGAAAUUUGCCCGACUUUUUCGGAUUGUGUCCGCCCAGUCAAAAAAAUUUU